AGUGAUCACUACCUUCAGCUGAAUAAAGUCAGAAUGUAUUUGAUACAGGCCCUGUCUACAAAUAUUACAUUCAUCUAGCCUGACUUGGAUCUUCGAGCACAACCCCAAAGUGGAGAUAAGCCUUUAAGACCCCUCACAAGAGAGUUUUUGAGGUGGUUUCUGACUGUUUAUGGGACAACAAAAGGGCAUGCAGAAUUAAGAGCAACGAGGAAGAGAAGAACAGUGGGCCAGUCUCUUAUCAGUGCUGACCAGUGCAAAUGAUUAACCCGACCUCCUAAAAAUACCACCUGAACACCAGUUCAUUAGUUUUUGGAUCAUUAUACCAGGACCAAAGAAUGGUGGAAAGGACUGAGUUCCGUAGGUGGCUUGCAAUGGUAGCAAGGAAAAAUAGGAAUCAAAAAAGAAGAAUGCCCUGGAUGCCAAGAUCCAGGUUGGGGACACAAACUCUUUCUUGAGAGAUUCUCACAAACAACUAUGUUCCUGAUAGGAAAGCACCUCUAGUUGGAGAGAGAAAUAUAUAGAAGUAAUAAAUAAAACGUAGUGAAUGGUGGUAUUAUAUUUUCUAAUAAAAUGAAGCUUAAUUUCACUCAGGUUCAAAA